rnacentral:rRNA from 1 species
AGAGUUUGAUCCUGGCUCAGGAUGAACGCUAGCUACAGGCUUAACACAUGCAAGUCGAGGGGGAACGACAUUGGAAGCUUGCUUCCUUUGGGCGUCGACCGGCGCACGGGUGAGUAACGCGUAUCCAACCUUCCCGCAAGUAAGGGAUAACCCGUAGAAAUGCGGCCUAAUACCUUAUGUUUUCCUUAGAGGGCAUCUGAUGAGGAACAAAGAUCCGUCGCUUGCGGAUGGGGAUGCGUCUGAUUAGUUAGUCGGCGGGGUAACGGCCCACCGAGACGACGAUCAGUAGGGGUUCUGAGAGGAAAGUCCCCCACAUUGGAACUGAGACACGGUCCAAACUCCUACGGGAGGCAGCAGUGAGGAAUAUUGGUCAAUGGGCGGAAGCCUGAACCAGCCAAGUAGCGUGCAGGACGACGGCCCUAUGGGUUGUAAACUGCUUUUAUGCGGGGAUAAAGUGGGCCACGUGUGGCCUUUUGCAGGUACCGCAUGAAUAAGGACCGGCUAAUUCCGUGCCAGCAGCCGCGGUAAUACGGAAGGUCCGGGCGUUAUCCGGAUUUAUUGGGUUUAAAGGGAGCGCAGGCCGCCGGGCAAGCGUGUUGUGAAAUGCAGUCGCUCAACGUCUGCACUGCAGCGCGAACUGCCCAGCUUGAGUGCGCGC